GGGUCGUUAGCUCAGAGGUAGAGCGCCGCCUUCACACGGCGGAGGUCAGUGGUUCGAAACCACUACGACCCACCA
rnacentral:tRNA from 1 species